rnacentral:rRNA from 1 species
GAUGAACGCUAGCUACAGGCUUAACACAUGCAAGUCGCGGGGCAGCAUUUCCUUAGCUUGCUAAGGAAGAUGGCGACCGGCGCACGGGUGAGUAACGCGUAUCCAACCUUCCCGCAAGUAAGGGAUAACCCGUAGAAAUGCGGCCUAAUACCUUAUGUUUUCCUUAGAGGGCAUCUGAUGAGGAACAAAGAUCCGUCGCUUGCGGAUGGGGAUGCGUCUGAUUAGUUAGUCGGCGGGGUAACGGCCCACCGAGACGACGAUCAGUAGGGGUUCUGAGAGGAAAGUCCCCCACAUUGGAACUGAGACACGGCCCAGACUCCUACGGGAGGCAGCAGUAGGGAAUAUUGCACAAUGGAGGAAACUCUGAUGCAGCCAUGCCGCGUGUGUGAAGAAGGCC